rnacentral:rRNA from 1 species
GAUGAACGCUAGCUACAGGCUUAACACAUGCAAGUCGAGGGGUAACAAGAGAAAAGCUUGCUUUUCUUGUUGACGACCGGCGCACGGGUGAGUAACGCGUAUCCAACCUGCCUAUAACUAGGGAAUAACCUUGCGAAAGUAAGACUAAUACCCUAUGAUUUCCUUUGAUGACAUCAGAUUAGGAAUAAAGAUUUAUCGGUUAUAGAUGGGGAUGCGUCCGAUUAGCUUGUUGGCGGGUAACGGCCCACCAAGGCAACGAUCAGUAGGGGUUCUGAGAGGAAGGUCACCCACAUUGGAACUGAGACACGGUCCAAACGCCUACGGGAGGCAGCAGUGAGGAAUAUUGGUCAAUGGGCGGAAGCCUGAACCAGCCAAGUAGCGUGCAAGAUGACGGCCCUAUGGGUUGUAAACUUCUUUUAUACAGGAAUAAAGUUAGCCACGUGUGGUUAUUUGUAGGUACUGUAUGAAUAAGGACCGGCUAAUUCCGUGCCAGCCGCCGCAGUAA